AGGGUGUAAACGCUGCAGACUUGGUGUUGGAAGCCCUUUGGGGGCAUUCAGUGCCGGAGAGAAGUUGUUAAGUCUGCUACUUGGGGAGUACGUCCGCAAGGAUGAAACUUAAAGGAAUUGGCGGGGGGAGCACCGCAACGGGAGGAGCGUGCGGUUUAAUUGGAUUCAACACCGUAAAACUCACCAGGGAAGACUGUUACAUGAAGGCCGAGAUGAAGACUCUGCUAGAUUUUCAGAGAGGUGGUGCAUGGCGUCAGUGACU
rnacentral:rRNA from 1 species